rnacentral:rRNA from 1 species
AACGAACGCUGGCGGCAUGCCUAACACAUGCAUGUCGAACGAGAUCUUCGGGUCUAGUGGCGCACGGGUGCGUAACGCGUGGGAAUCUGCCCUUUGGUUCGGAAUAACAGUUGGAAACGACUGCUAAUACCGGAUGAUGACGAAAGCCCAAAGAUUUAUCGCCAGAGGAUGAGCCCGCGUAGGAUUAGCUAGUUGGUGUGGUAAAGGCGCACCAAGGCGACGAUCCUUAGCUGGUCUGAGAGGAUGAUCAGCCACACUGGGACUGAGACACGGCCCAGACUCCUACGGGAGGCAGCAGUGGGGAAUAUUGGACAAUGGGCGAAAGCCUGAUCCAGCAAUGCCGCGUGAGUGAUGAAGGCCUUAGGGUUGUAAAGCUCUUUUACCCGGGAUGAUAAUGACAGUACCGGGAGAAUAAGCUCCGGCUAACUCCGUGCCAGCCGCCGCGGUAA